rnacentral:rRNA from 1 species
UACGUAGGCAGCAAGCGUUGUUCGGAAUUACUGGGCGUAAAGAGUGUGUAGGCGGUGUUCUAAGUCUGUUGUGAAAUCUCCCGGCUUAACUGGGAGGGUGCGGCGGAAACUGGAAUGCUAGAGGAUGGGAGAGGUAAGCGGAAUUCCUGGUGUAGCGGUGAAAUGCGUAGAUAUCAGGAGGAACACCGGUGGUGUAGACGGCUCUCUGGACCGUAACUGACGCUGAGGCACGAAAGCGUGGGUAGCAAACAGG